rnacentral:rRNA from 1 species
GGCGAACGGGUGAGUAACACGUGAGCAACCUGCCUUAUACACAGGGACUAACAGUUGGAAACGACUAGCUAAUACCGGAUAAGACCACACGUAUGGCAUCAGUAGAGGGGUCAAAGCGAAUAAGCGGGUAUAAGAUGGGCUCGCGUCCAAUUAGCUAGUUGGGUGAGGUAACGGCCCACCAAGGCGACGAUUGGUAGCCGACUUGAGAGAGUGAUCGGCCACACUGGAACUGAGACACGGUCCAGACUCCUACGGGAGGCAGCAGUGGGGAAUAUUGGGGCAAUGGAGGAAACUCUUACCCAGCCAAUGCCGCGUGAGUGAUGAAGGUCUUUGGAUUGUAAAGCUCUUUGAUUGGGGACGAAUAAAUGACGGUACCCAAAGAACAAGCCCCGGCUAACUAUGUGCCAGCAGCCGC